GGAAAAAACAAACCCACCCAACUCUGUUUCCGGAUUCCAGGCAUUAAGUGUCAGGGGGCGUGCCCCUGUAAGCACCUCUUUGCCUUCACAUCAGAAAGCGGACGAAAAGCGCUGUCGAUCCGGAUGGAGCAUAUAUUCCACCAUCCCUGGCCGCCAAACAAACUGAAGAUGAUUCGCCACCAUGGCAUCACAAGCGUCCACAUAUUGAGAUUUAUGUUGUGCAGUCGCCAACAUCCAGAAAUAGGGAUUUCCUCGUUGUCUAGAGGGAUCCAGAGACCAUGCUAUGUAGACGGUUCACUGAUUACCUGCGUUUUUCAGUACCCACUUGAAACCGAUCCCCCGUGGAUCCGAGAGGACUGUAUUUCUGUGUAUGUUGCGUCCUCCCAUAGCCUCCCACGGGCCUGAAAAGUGCCCUAUUCAUCAACUAAGUGGAAGAAAACGUCAGCUUCCCAGGACACAUUGUGACCGGCCUUAAUUGGGAUAUUCUUAAACAAAGGGACUUCAAAGCGAGAUCUCGGCGUGAAACCGCUGGAUUGCCAUUUAUGAAGAAGCUCCGUUAUGCCACCUGUAUUCUGAAUCACAUCAACAGGUAGCUAUGCUCUUGAGAGAGAAAAACAUAAGAGGGAAGCAAGGCGCCGGCUCUUCCAGGAAGAAGAAAGCAAUGAAGGAAAUGCCAAAGGUACCACCUUUUACGCAAAAUUCAGCCUGGCGAUCUCUUUUCAAAGAUGCUCUGCAGGACAUUUCCCCUGCUGCAGGACCCGAGGCAGCUUACAUCCGUAGAAGGCAACGUUUAAAAGCUAGCAGACA